GAUGAACGCUGGCGGCGUGCCUAAUACAUGCAAGUCGAGCGAACAGACGAGGAUCUUGCUCCUCUGACGUUAGCGGCGGACGGGUGAGUAACACGUGGAUAACCUACCUAUAAGACUGGGAUAACUUCGGGAAACCUGAGCUAAUACCGUAUAACAUGUUGAACCGCAUGGUUCAACAGAGAAAGACGGUCUUGCUGUCACUUAUAGAUGGUUCCGCGCCGCAUUAGCUAGUUGGUAAGGUAACGGCUUACCAAGGCAACGAUGCGUAGCCGACCUGAGAGGGUGAUCGGCCACACUGGAACUGAGACACGGUCCAGACUCCUACGGGAGGCAGCAGUAGGGAAUCUUCCGCAAUGGGCGAAAGCCUGACGGAGCAACGCCGCGUGAGUGAAGAAGGUCUUCGGAUCGUAAAACUCUGUUAUUAGGGAAGAACAAAUGUGUAAGUAACUAUGCACGUCUUGACGGUACCUAAUCAGAAAGCCACGGCUAACUACGUG
rnacentral:rRNA from 1 species